GCUGGGCAUGGUGGCACACGCUUGUAAUCCCAGCUACUUGGGAGGCUGAGGCAGGAGAAUUGCUUGAGCCCAGGAAACAGAGGUUGCAGUGAGCUGAGGUCAUGCCACUGCACUCCAGCCUAGCUGACAGAGCAAGACUCUGUCUCAAAAAAAAAUAAAAAUAAAAAAAGAUAUGAAUGCAUCUAAAGAUAAUUACUGUCGCCCAGGCUGGAGUGCAGUGGAGUGAUCUCAGGUCACUGCAACCUCCACCUUCCCGGUUCAAGCGAUUAUCUAGCCUCA
rnacentral:sRNA from 1 species